UGCAUUCACUACUGUAAGUCACUCUUGAUAAGAGCGUCUGCUAAAUGACUAAAA
rfam:Salmo salar isolate Sally breed double haploid chromosome ssa27, whole genome shotgun sequence.